rnacentral:rRNA from 1 species
AGUCCGAGAACCCCAAACAGUUCCCUAUAUACGGGGCGGCAGCCUCGUCGGCCUGCAGGCCGGCUAGCCGCCGCAUGAUGAUGAUAUUGCUUCUUAUACGUAUCAUAGUCCCAUAAUGUUCUUGAAAUGGGUUAAUUAACACUCAAGUCAUGCCCUUAUGAUGUUCUGGGCCGCACGCGCGUUACAAUGGCAUGUAAAGCGAGUGCUGCAAAAGCAGUUACCGGGGCCGAAGCCCUGGUAACCCCUAAUCCCUGCUGCUGGAAUAAUCAUUGCAAUUAUUGUCUCUAACGAGGAUUUUUAGUAAGUCGAGUCAUAACCUACCACGAUGCGUCUGCCUUUUGUAAAACAGCA